GGCGCACGGGUGCGUAACNCGUGAGCAACCUACCUCUAUCAGGGGGAUAGCCUCUCGAAAGAGAGAUUAACACCGCAUAACAUCAACNNNNNGCAUGUUCGGUUGAUUAAAUAUUUAUAGGAUAGAGAUGGGCUCGCGUGACAUUAGCUAGUUGGUAGGGUAACGGCCUACCAAGGCNACGAUGUCUAGGGGCUCUGAGAGGAGAAUCCCNNACACUGGUACUGAGACACGGACCAGNCUCCUACGGGAGGCAGCANUAAGGAAUAUUGGUCAAUGGGCGGAAGCCUGAACCAGCCAUGCCGCGUGCAGGAUGACUGCCCUAUGGGUUGUAAACUGCUUUUGUCCAGGAAUAAACCUAAAUACGUGUAUUUAGCUGAAUGUACUGGAAGAAUAAGGAUCGGCUAACUCCGUGCCAGCNNNNNCGGUNAUACGGAGNAUCCUAGCGUUAUCCGGAUUUAUUGGGUUUAAAGGGUGCGUAGGCGGCCUAUUAAGUCAGGGGUGAAAUNCGGUGGCUNNACCAUCGCAGUGCCUUUGAUACUGAUGGGCUUGAAUCCUUUGAACGUGGGCGGAAUAAGACAAGUAGCGGUGAAAUGCAUAGAUAUGUCUUAGAACUCCGAUUGCGAAGGCAGCUCACUAAGCUGGUAUUGACGCUGAUGCACUAAAGCGUGGGGAUCGAACAGGAUUAGAUACCCUGGUAGUCCACGCCCUAANCGAUGAUAACUCGAUGUUGGCGAUNGACANCCAGCNUCCCAGCGAAAGCGUUAAGUUAUCCACCUGGGGAGUACGCCCGCAAGGGUNAAACUCAAAGGAAUUGACGGGNNCCCGCACAAGCGGAGGAGCAUGUGGUUUAAUUCGAUGAUACGCGAGGAACCUUACCCGGGCUUGAAAGUUAGUGAAGAGUGCAGAGACGCACUNNUCCUUCGGGACACGAAACUAGGUNCUGCAUGGCUGUCGUCAGCUCGUGCNGUGAGGUGUUGGGUUAAGUCCCCCAACGANCCCNACCCCNANGUUUAGNUUCCAACANGUUANGGUGGGGACUCUAAACAGACUGCCUGUGCAAACAGAGAGGAAGGUGGGGACGACGUCAAGUCAUCAUGGCCCUUACGUCCGGGGCUACACACGUGCUACAAUGGAUGGUACAGCGGGCAGCUACAUAGCAAUAUGAUGCUAAUCUCUAAAAGCCAUUCACAGUUCGGAUUGGGGUCUGCNACUNGACCCCAUGAAGUUGGAUUCGCUAGUAAUCGCGUAUCAGCAAUGACGCGGUGAAUACGU
rnacentral:rRNA from 1 species